UACGUAGGGUCCGAGCGUUGUCCGGAGUUACUGGGCGUAAAGCGCGCGCAGGCGGCGGUGCUGGCCCGGCGUGAAAUUCCUGGGCUCAACCUGGGGACUGCGCUUGAUACGGCAGAGCUAGAGGAUGGAAGAGGCUCGCGGAAUUCCCAGUGUAGAGGUGAAAUCGUAGAUAUUGGGAAGAACACCGGUGGCGAAGGCGGCGAGCUGGUCCUUUUCUGACGCUGAGGCGCGAAAGCCAGGGAGCAAACGGG
rnacentral:rRNA from 1 species